UACAAGUCAAUCCGACCAUUCCCUGGUCACCUCCCUUAUUCAGUCUCAAAAUCUUACUCACUGCUUCACGAGCAUAGACUACCAAAUCUUGGCAACAAUUUACAGUCCCGAAGGACACGACCUACCUUUAGGUAGCAAAUUACGGCCCAAUGGGCACGACCUUUAAUAGGUGGCAAAUUACGGCCUCAACAGGCGCGACCCAUAUCGGGUGGCAAAUUACGGCCUUAACAGGCGCGACCUUUAAUAGGUGGCAAAUUACGGCCUCAACAGGCGCGACCCAUAUCGGGUGGCAGAUUACGGCCUCAACAGGCGCGACCUUUAAUAGGUGGCAAAUUACGGCCUCAACAGGCGCGACCCAUAUCGGGUGGCAGAUUACGGCCUCAACAGGCGCGACCCAUAUCGGGUGGCAGAUUACGGCCUCAACAGGCGCGACCGACUCCAAAUUCGGUGGCAAAUCUCGGCUCAACUAGCAUAGCCAUACUUCGGCGGCUUCUGAGGUUCAACUCACAACCUCUCAUAGUCAAAUUCUAAUUGAAUACCGACAUUGAUCAAUCAGAUCAAUCUUGGGAUGAAUCCCCACAUACUCAUCAACUCACUCAAUUUUCACACAAUAUUAACAUACCUGAUAGAUCUUAGCCAAGAGUAUAUUCAAUUUACUCUCACAAACUUCUCCACUUAAUAGCCCAUCAAAGCAUUACAAAUGCUGAAUAAACAUACUUGGCCAUUUACCAAUCAAUAAUUCAAUCUCAAUCAAUUCCAAUCAAUUUAGGGUAACUCCCCAAAAUAUCACAAUUUAUUUAAUUCCACGCAACGUGGAGCUCAAAUAAAUAAACAGACUGCACCACGAUGAUCAGCACGAGAUUUCGGUCGUCGGCCAUCAAAAUCUUAAUUUCCGAAAAAUAAUUAAUUAAUAAAUAUUAAAAAUUCAAUUUAGCUCAAAAUAAAGCCCGAUUAAAUAAACGGACUUCACCA
rnacentral:lncRNA from 1 species